GCCUGGAAAAUGGGACUCACCUGGGACGCAGUGGUCUCAGGAGUUAGAUUUAAGUUAGGUGGGAUAGAAACGCAGGUCCGCUGACCGUUCGGACAUCCUCCAUGGCCCCAGGGCAGGGAGCUUGGAAACUUCAGCUGGGAGCAGUGCAGGAGUUGCUUCAGGCUGGACACUCCAUGUUUGAAGUUCUAUAUAUGUAUGAAAGUCAAUAAGCUGAGAUUAUGAAAAGACGCUUUCCUGACUUUGGAAAAGGCGUUUCUCACCACUUGAUCUUCUGCGACACGGAGAUGCAGCUUGAACUCAGUGGCUGAGAUGACCCUCAAGCUGAUGCUUAUAACCCAUCUGAUCAUCUGCUCUGACUGCCCUGCCUGGCUGGAGUCUCCCCCCACCCCCACCCCCGCCUCCCCUCCCCAGGACAAAGUCUUUAACACCAAUAGCCAGACAGUGAAUAAGCUGUUUUAGGGAAGUGGAGAGUGAGGUGGGGAGGACUUCCUGAUGACAUCAGUGGUUUUAGUCAGUAAAUGAGAGCAUUCUGAGAACGUGUGAUGGGAUUAA